rnacentral:rRNA from 1 species
GCACAGGAGGGAAUCUUCCGCAAUGGACGAAAGUCUGACGGAGCAACGCCGCGUGAGUGAUGAAGGCUUUCGGGUCGUAAAACUCUGUUGUUAGGGAAGAACAAGUGCUAGUUGAAUAAGCUGGCACCUUGACGGUACCUAACCAGAAAGCCACGGCUAACUACGUGCCAGCAGCCGCGGUAAUACGUAGGUGGCAAGCGUUAUCCGGAAUUAUUGGGCGUAAAGCGCGCGCAGGUGGUUUCUUAAGUCUGAUGUGAAAGCCCACGGCUCAACCGUGGAGGGUCAUUGGAAACUGGGAGACUUGAGUGCAGAAGAGGAAAGUGGAAUUCCAUGUGUAGCGGUGAAAUGCGUAGAGAUAUGGAGGAACACCAGUGGCGAAGGCGACUUUCUGGUCUGUAACUGACACUGAGGCGCGAAAGCGUGGGGAGCAAACAGGAUUAGAUACCCUGGUAGUCCACGCCGUAAACGAUGAGUGCUAAGUGUUAGAGGGUUUCCGCCCUUUAGUGCUGAAGUUAACGCAUUAAGCACUCCGCCUGGAG